UUUUAUUUGAGAGUUUGAUCCUGGCUCAGGAUGAACGCUGGCGGCGUGCCUAACACAUGCAAGUUGAGCGAUUUACUUCGGUAAAGAGCGGCGGACGGGUGAGUAACGCGUGGGUAACCUACCCUGUACACACGGAUAACAUACCGAAAGGUAUGCUAAUACGGGAUAAUAUAUUUGAGAGGCAUCUCUUAAAUAUCAAAGGUGAGCCAGUACAGGAUGGACCCGCGUCUGAUUAGCUAGUUGGUAAGGUAACGGCUUACCAAGGCGACGAUCAGUAGCCGACCUGAGAGGGUGAUCGGCCACAUUGGAACUGAGACACGGUCCAAACUCCUACGGGAGGCAGCAGUGGGGAAUAUUGCACAAUGGGCGAAAGCCUGAUGCAGCAACGCCGCGUGAGUGAUGAAGGCCUUCGGGUCGUAAAACUCUGUCCUCAAGGAAGAUAAUGACGGUACUUGAGGAGGAAGCCCCGGCUAACUACGUGCCAGCAGCCGCGGUAAUACGUAGGGGGCUAGCGUUAUCCG
rnacentral:rRNA from 1 species